CAUAUAACCUUUAGACUAUAAUAACCCAUUUCGUGUAACCAUAGUACCAUAGACUUGUUCUUCCACUAGAGUAGGUCACACUCUGUCUAGCACCUUUAUCUUCUGUGUCGCAUUCACUGCUUUCUCAAGAAAUCAGUAAAGGUCGUGUUAAUUAUAGCAGUAGAAGCUGAAAGGAAAAACAUUUCGUAUGAAAAAGAUGUUUAGAAUGAUCUAAGAUGCUUGUGAUAAAAUGUAAAACGUAAUUACCUACUAACUGGAAAAACAAGGCAAUGUAAAAUGAUAUAAAUAAAGUCCCUCCAAAAUGGUCUGGAGAAGACGUAUGCACCCUGACUCUGUGUGUGUGCGUCUCCUCAUUCACCGACUCCGUCCUUUCCUUCCAGAGACCCACCCCAGCUGGAGCUGGACUCCGGCCAUCCAUGUACUCUGCACCUUAUGGAAUAUGAGGAUCACGAACUGCAGACUGACCCUAGACUCCUAAGUUUAAAGAGCUCACCUUUCAAAGUGAAUCUCAAGAUGCAACCUCAAGUGUUAAAGGCAGACAGAAAGAGAUGCUUCUCAAUGCUGUCUGCCAGGAGGUUGUCCCAGUUCCUGAAAGAAAGGAAUAACACACAGUAAAAGAGCAUCAGUGCUACAUUCCAG
rnacentral:lncRNA from 12 species